UUUCCGUAGGUGAACCUGCGGAGGGAUCAUUACCAGAGAUGGCGGGCCCCCGCGCCCCCGUCCCCAACCCUUUGUUGACCUGACCACUUUUGCCUCGGGGGUGGAGCGGCCUCCGCCGCCCCCGGUGGACCAACCAACUCUGUCUCUUUGCGUCGGAGUCUUUGAUGAAUAUAUGAAAACUUUUAACAACGGAUCUCUUGGUUCUGGCAUCGAUGAAGAACGCAGC
rnacentral:misc_RNA from 1 species